AGGACGAACGCUGGCGGCGUGCUUAACACAUGCAAGUCGAGCGGUAAGGCACUUCGGUGUACACGAGCGGCGAACGGGUGAGUAACACGUGAGUAAUCUGCCCUUCACUCUGGGAUAAGCUUCGGAAACGGGGUCUAAUACCGGAUACGACCAGCCUCUGCAUGGGGUGUUGGUGGAAACUUUUAUGGGUGGGGGAUGUGCUCGCGGCCUAUCAGCUUGUUGGUGGGGUAAUGGCCUACCAAGGCUUCGACGGGUA
rnacentral:rRNA from 1 species